UGAGUAUUCUAAGGCGCUUGAGAGAACUCAGGAGAAGGAACUCGGCAAAUUGACACCGUAACUUCGGAAGAAGGUGUGCCUUUAGUAGGUGAACCAUUUACUUGGGGAGCCCAAUGAGGCUGCAAAAAAUCGGUGGCUGCAACUGUUUAUUAAAAACACAGCACUCUGCUAAGACGAAAGUCGACGUAUAGGGUGUGACGCCUGCCCGGUGCUGGAAGAUUAAAUGAUGGGGUGCAAGCUCUUGAUUGAAGUCCCAGUAAACGGCGGCCGUAACUAUAACGGUCCUAAGGUAGCGAAAUUCCUUGUCGGGUAAGUUCCGACCUGCACGAAUGGCGUAAUGAUGGCCACACUGUCUCCUCCUGAGACUCAGCGAAGUUGAAAUGUUUGUGAUGAUGCAAUCUCCCCGCGGAAAGACGGAAAGACCCCAUGAACCUUUACUGUAGCUUUGUAUUGGACUUUGAACAGAUCUGUGUAGGAUAGGUGGGAGGCUUUGAAGUGUGGUCGCUAGAUCGCAUGGAGCCAACGUUGAAAUACCACCCUGGUGUGUUUGAGGUUCUAACCUAGGUCCAUUAUCUGGAUCGGGGACAGUGCAUGGUAGGCAGUUUGACUGGGGCGGUCUCCUCCCAAAGUGUAACGGAGGAGUUCGAAGGUACGCUAGGUACGGUCGGACAUCGUGCUAAUAGUGCAAUGGCAUAAGCGUGCUUAACUGCGAGACUGACAAGUCGAGCAGAUGCGAAAGCAGGACAUAGUGAUCCGGUGGUUCUGUAUGGAAGGGCCAUCGCUCAACGGAUAAAAGGUACUCUGGGGAUAACAGGCUGAUACCGCCCAAGAGUUCAUAUCGACGGCGGUGUUUGGCACCUCGAUGUCGGCUCAUCUCAUCCCGGGGCUGUAGCCGGUCCCAAGGGUAUGGCUGUUCGCCAUUUAAAGAGGUACGAGAGCUGGGUUUAAAACGUCGUGAGACAGUUUGGUCCCUAUCUUCCGUGGGCGCUGCAGAUUUGAGGAAGCCUGCUCCUAGUACGAGAGGACCGGAGUGGACGAACCUCUGGUGUAUCGGUUGUCACGCCAGUGGCAUUGCCGAGUAGCUAAGUUCGGAAGAGAUAACCGCUGAAAGCAUCUAAGCGGGAAACUCGUUUCAAGAUUAGAUCUGCCGGGGCCUUGAGCCCCCUAAAGAGUCGUUCAAGACCAGGACGUUGAUAGGUCAGGUGUGGAAGCG
rnacentral:rRNA from 1 species